UACGUAGGGUGCAAGCGUUGUCCGGAAUUAUUGGGCGUAAAGAGCGUGUAGGCGGCCCGAUUAGUCCGCUGUGAAAGUCCAGGGCUCAACCCUGGAAUGCCGGUGGAUACUGUCGGGCUAGAGUCCGGAAGGGGCGAGUGGAAUUCCUGGUGUAGCGGUGAAAUGCGCAGAUAUCAGGAGGAACACCAAUGGCGAAGGCGGCCUGCUGGGACAUGGCUGACGCUGAGGCGCGACAGCGUGGGGAGCAAACAGG
rnacentral:rRNA from 1 species